rnacentral:lncRNA from 1 species
CGGAGAGCAGAGAGGGAGCGCGCCUUGGCUCGCUGGCCUUGGCUGCGGCUCCUCGGGAGAGCUGGGGCGCCCACGAGAGGAUCCCUCACCUGGGUCUCUCCUCAGGGAUGACAUCAUCCGUCCACCUCCUUGUCUUCAAGGACCACCUCCUCUCCAUGCUGAGCUGCUGCCAAGGGGCCUGCUGCCCAUCUACACCUCACGAGGGCACUAGGAGCACGGAUUCCUGGAUCCCACCAACAUACAAAGCAGCCACUCACUGACCCCCAGGACCAGGAUGGCAAAGGAUGAAGAGGACCGGAACUGACCAGCCAGCUGUCCCUCUUACCUAAAGACUUAAACCAAUGCCCUAGUGAGGGGGCAUUGGGCAUUAAGCCCUGACCUUUGCUAUGCUCAUACUUUGACUCUAUGAGUACUUUCCUAUAAGUCUUUGCUUGUGUUCACCUGCUAGCAAACUGGAGUGUUUCCCUCCCCAAGGGGGUGUCAGUCUUUGUCGACUGACUCUGUCAUCACCCUUAUGAUGUCCUGAAUGGAAGGAUCCCUUUGGGAAAUUCUCAGGAGGGGGACCUGGGCCAAGGGCUUGGCCAGCAUCCUGCUGGCAACUCCAAGGCCCUGGGUGGGCUUCUGGAAUGAGCAUGCUACUGAAUCACCAAAGGCACGCCCCACCUCUCUGAAGAUCUUCCUAUCCUUUUCUGGGGAAUGGGGUCGAUGAGAGCAACCUCCUAGGGUUGUUGUGAGAAUUAAAUGAGAUAAAAGAGGCCUCAGGCAGGAUCUGGCAUAGAGGAGGUGAUCAGCAAAUGUUUGUUGAAAAGGUUUGACAGGUCAGUCCCUUCCCACCCCUCUUGCUUGUCUUACUUGUCUUAUUUAUUCUCCAACAGCACUCCAGGCAGCCCUUGUCCACGGGCUCUCCUUGCAUCAGCCAAGCUUCUUGAAAGGCCUGUCUACACUUGCUGUCUUCCUUCCUCACCUCCAAUUUCCUCUUCAACCCACUGCUUCCUGACUCGCUCUACUCCGUGGAAGCACGCUCACAAAGGCACGUGGGCCGUGGCCCGGCUGGGUCGGCUGAAGAACUGCGGAUGGAAGCUGCGGAAGAGGCCCUGAUGGGGCCCACCAUCCCGGACCCAAGUCUUCUUCCUGGCGGGCCUCUCGUCUCCUUCCUGGUUUGGGCGGAAGCCAUCACCUGGAUGCCUACGUGGGAAGGGACCUCGAAUGUGGGACCCCAGCCCCUCUCCAGCUCGAAAUCCCUCCACAGCCACGGGGACGCCCUGCACCUAUUCCCACGGGACAGGCUGGACCCAGAGACUCUGGACCCGGGGCCUCCCCUUGAGUAGAGACCCGCCCUCUGACUGAUGGACGCCGCUGACCUGGGGUCAGACCCGUGGGCUGGACCCCUGCCCACCCCGCAGGAACCCUGAGGCCUAGGGGAGCUGUUGAGCCUUCGGUGUCUGCAUGUGGGAAGUGGGCUCCUUCACCUACCUCACAGGGCUGUUGUGAGGGGCGCUGUGAUGCGGUUCCAAAGCACAGGGCUUGGCGCACCCCACUGUGCUCUCAAUAAAUGUGUUUCCUGUCUUAACAAAAACUGAU